rnacentral:tRNA from 1 species
GCCCAGAUGGUGAAAUGGUAGACACGCUCGUUUCAGGUGCGAGUGCUUCGCGGCAUGUAGGUUCGAGUCCUAUUCUGGGCACAA